rnacentral:rRNA from 1 species
AUGCUCUCUCAAGGUUUCAAAAGGUCUAAUUAUGAUAGUUGUGUUUAUUUAAAAGCUGUCAAUGGUUCAACUAUUUAUUUGCUCCUUUAUGUUGAUGAUAUGCUUAUUGCUGCAAAGAGUAUGGCAGAUAUUGAUGAACUAAAGAAGCAAUUGAGUAAUGAAUUUGAGAUGAAGGAUUUGGGUGCAGCAAAGAAAAUACUUGGCAUGGAAAUAUCCAGAGAUAGACCGUCUGGAAAAGUAUAUCUAAGUCAGAAGGGAUAUAUUGAUAAAGUUCUUCGUCGUUUUAAUAUGCAUAGUGCCAAGCCGGUGAGUACACCGUUAGCUGCACACUUCAAAUUGUCAUCAGCUUUAUGUCCUAAGUCAGAUCCAGAUAUUGAGUACAUGUCUAGAGUUCCCUAUUCAAGUGCAGUUGGUUCACUUAUGUACGCAAUGGUUUGUUCUCGUCCUGACUUAUCAUAUACAUUGAGUGUUGUCAGUAGAUACAUGGCUAAUCCUGGAAAAGAGCAUUGGAAAGCAGUUCAGUGGAUUUUCAAAUACCUGCGUGGUACUUCUAAUGCUUAUUUACAGUUUGGGAAAACUAGAGAUGGACUUGUUGGUUUUGUUGAUUCUGAUUUUGCUGGUGAUUUGGAUAAGAGAAGAUCACUCACAGGUUAUGUUUUCACCAUUGGUGGUUGUGCUGUGAGUUGGAGAGCAACUUUGCGGUCUAUUGUGGCUUGUUCCAUUACCGAUGCCGAGUAG